UACGGAGGGUGCAAGCAUUAAUCGGAUUUACUGGGCGUAAAGGGUGCGUAGGCGGAUUAUUAAGUCAAAUGUGAAAUUCUGACCCUCAAUGUCAGAACUGCAUUUGAAACUGGUUUUCUAGAGGGUGGGCGGAGAGAAUGGAAUUCCGUGUGUAGCGGUGAAAUGCGUAGAUAUACGGAAGAACACCUGUGGCGAAAGCGAUUCUCUAGCUUACUACUGACGCUGAGGCACGAGAGCGUGGGGAGCAAACAGG
rnacentral:rRNA from 1 species